AAUUACUUGUUCCACACCCAAGUUGUAUAACAGGAAGAGGUCUUGGACCCCUACUUCCCUCUCAUUUUUAAUAGUCCAUAUACUGUAGUCAUAAUUAUAGCUUUAAAGAGAUUUCAGAAGAACAUGGUGUUUCAGGUAGAAAUGCAUAUCAAGGUAAGUUAAUUUAUAGAUAUAUAAAGUACUGUCUAGAAAUAUAUUACAGUACUGCAAUUGGUACAUUAUAUUACAGAUAGAUAAAUGAAGAACAUAACAGUAGAUGCUAGGGUGUAAAAAAGAAAUCUAGUACAGUAUUGUUGAAUUUAGUUCACAUACCUGUUUUGGAAAAUUCAAGAUUUGGCCAAGGGAAUUUUACAUUAUGGAAUAUAGGAUUACAUAGAGGAUAGGCUCCUUGAAGGUGUCAACUUUUUGGAGAGGAAACUCAUGUGUUCUGUUCUUGGAUGGCUUUUGCUCAUCCCUACUCUUACAUGUGAGGAUAGCAUAAAAGUUAAGAUACCCACAAACUUUGCUCAUCAAGCUAAGGGUCCAUUUUGUAUGGAUGGUUUAGGGCAUUCAAGCUGGGGUACAAUAUCACAGGUAUUGCAAGUACAGUACCUGUCAAGUUGUGAUUUUCCUGGACCCUUUGUCAUCUUGCAACAGUCAGGUGCCAGUCAGCUCCAGGCUGUCAUAGUGAAUGGUUGUGUGCUGCAUUUUGCUAUGCCAUCCUACCUUGUUUUUACAUAUAUUUUAGUGGUGCUUAUGGUUGUAUAUUGUUAUGGGACCUACCAAGGAACUAAGCAAUGAAACCAUUGCUCAGAGCAUUGCUUUAAAGGAUGCAGGCCACCAAACUAAGGAAGUAACUCUAUUGGUCAGUGUGGCUAAGUCAGCGGUGAGAAAGAAUUGUGUACAGUUCAGGGAGGAAAACAGCAGUGAGAUGCCAUCACAAUAAACUUGGUCUGGGCAUCCCAGGAAGACCUUUUUAAUGUCUGUGAACAAUGUAAAAUGUUUGUUGGAGAGUACACCUCGUGUGACAGCAAGGGUAGUGAAAGAAUACAUCUUUAAAGUGUUUGGUGAAGUCUGUACAUACCAUAUCUCGCAACAUUUACAAUUUGGGUUUUACUAGCCAUAUGCUGGCAUCUUCCAACAGGACAAUGCACCUGCUCACACUGCCAAAUCUGUUACUAAGUGGUUUGAUGACUGCAUGGUACCCAUCAUUAAGGAUUGGCCAGAUAACAGUCCAAAUCUCAACUCAGUUGAGAAUCCCUGGCACAUGGUUAAGAGGGAUAUGGAGUGCAAAGAUGUCAGCUCCAUACCCAAGCUCGAGGAAGUCAUUCAUCAGUCCUGGGCAAACAUCUCGCUGAAACACUUACCCCGACAUCUCCAAGCUGUGAAGAAGAGAAAAGGCCACCCAACCAAGUAUUAAAAGUACAGGUGAGGAACAUGAAGUAGAGAGAGUCCCUGACACGACUGUUCAAGAGGCAGUAUCCCACCAGAAUAAAUACUGCAGUCAGGAGCGAGAAUACAGAGAAGAAGUAGUGGAGAAUUUCAAGGUCCUCUGAUACGGACAAGACGGCCAGGACCCAGGUGGCACCUAGCAGUGGUAGGAACAGAAUCCCUAACCACAGGAGAGUCCUAAAGAUUGCCAAAUCCUUCCACAUGACCUUUGAGCGUGAGUGAGGCACGGAUAGCCAUGACAAACACAAGGAGGAUAAUUAUGACAAUAGCACAGAUAGGCCCAACCAAUGCCCACACCACAGACUCAUAAAUGGACAACCAGCAGCUGCAGGAGGAAUGACAAAUAUUCCUCCAUCAGAGGUGUGGACAGCUACAGUAAAGACUGGGGAACGUACAGCUAAGCCAACGCCCCAUCGCUGCUCUACAUCCACAUCAUAAGUUUCAGGAAGUAAUAUGCCCAGAGAACGGAACACGACAUAGCUGACCACUGCACGAGUACUGCCCAGUGUGCCUGAGGUCGAGGUCUCAUCUGUUAUAAGGAACGUGUCUACAAAAUUAGUCUACUGCAUAUCAUAAACCAAUGCAAUUGUCUAUCACCUUGACAAUACUGUAUUAACACAAAAAUUAUAUUUAAGUUAAUUUUCAAAAGAGGGAACCAAAUAACACUUGGAUUUGACAUGUAUUGUAUAGUACAGUACAGUACUAAACUGUCCAGUUGACUCCCAAAUCUGUGUGGUCAUAAUCUGCAUUGUAAAUAAAGGACCAUUAAAUUACUUUAUGACUAAAAUUCACACUUACAUGUGUUUAAAUGGUGAUGCAAUUAGUGUGAUAAAUUUGAUUCAGUGGAGGCCCCACAUUGUUAGUCUGAGAACAGAUAUUAUCUUCUCAACUUUUAUGAGCAACUUUGACUCUGGUCCUGCUGUUUGGCAAGCCUGCACAGAUCUAGAGGACUAGUAGUACAGUAUUGUGGGUGUCUGUGUUACCAGAGCCAAUGUACUAGGGAGCUAAAUUGAGGUUUCCCAGAAAAAGGCAUUUCUGUUCAUUCAAUGCUUGAGUUUUAGAGAUCUUAAAAUUUCUUCACUUCACUGACAAUGAAACUUUGGAUGCAAAUGACUAAGUGGAAUAUCAGACAUGUGUUUAUGCAUAAAAAAACAGUAUUGAAUGUAAUGAAAGGCAAGUUUCUGGGUCAGUCCCAGAGGCUCCCUGAAGCUAUCGUCACUGAUUAAGUGCCAUACUACCUAAUGUCAGCAGUUGCAGAGUUCUUUUUGCCUACCGGGAACCAUGAUCCAGAACCUGGCCUCCCUCAGAGAGAUGCAGGGAGCGAUGGCCUAUGAUCACUUUACAUUUAAAGGAUAUUAUCUUUGCCAUCACUAGGGAAGACACCCAGAAAGAUAGGCAAAUCAAAACAAACCACUGCCUGGUUUAAAAAUAAACUGAAGCCCCAGAAUGCCAAAAGAACUCCCAAGAAGAAAAGAAACAACUAAAACUUAGUGAAGCUAGCCUCCCCCACUAGUUAGCUUCACUUUCCCCCUAAUUGGGGUAAAGGAGGGAGCUGGCCCGGGCAGGCUGGGCCAACCAACUUCCAGUUCUUUAACCCUUAAACUGCACACAUUGUAUAAACUGUAUACGAUUUGAGCAACCAAACCAUGCACAUUGUAAUAUACAACUGAGGAUGCCGUGCAUGAUUUAAAGUCUCGCACAGUAAAGGGGGCACCCAUAUGGUAGCCAAGGGCAAUAGUAAACAGAUGCCAUCUUAGAAAAAAAAUCCAGCGUAGGCCGCCAUUGUAUGAGGCCCCAAUUUCACGACAGACUCCAUGGCGAGCGCCAUGUACCAGCUGCUGACUGCGCUCAGCGCAUAUUUGUCCCAAUCUUUGACUGAGGAUGAAAUUCAUCAGGAAUUGUUCCAGGAGGGUGAGGAACCUGAUAUUAACAACUCGGACAUAGAUGAAGACUACACACCGUCCUCAGAUGUGGAUACGAGGGAUAUUGAAAGUGAACAUGUGGGUGCCACGAGGGUCAGGCAUAGGUCCUCAUUUGUGCCACCCUGCCCUCACUCGCCACCAAUUCGCACCCAACCACACAGUUCAUGUGUUACUUUGUCAGAUUAUUAUGUUUUGGUUGAUGAGUCUGUUGAAGGCAACUCAUUUUCUGGUUUUAGUGAUGUAAAUUCAGAGAAUAGUAUUACCAUGCCUGUUGCUAGUGCCACUGGUGUUACCAAGUGAUGUUUUGUCGGGUCAGCAGCAUCUCGCCCACUUAGCACCGCUGCAUGGCACCACAUGAAGACAAUGAGGAACCCUCAUCUUCAAGUAAAUUUCCAUCAUCGUUGGUUCCCAACCGUUACGGUAUCGACACCAUAGCCGGAGUGGGGAAUAGCGAUUCUUGCGCCUUCUAUGAUACCUGGUUGAUGUGGUUCUGGGAGUUCUUCUACUCCCAAAGCCUGGCCUGAGGCCAGGCUUGACUUGUGAGAGUUUGGUCCAACAGGCUGUUGCUUGGAGCGGCCUGCAGGCCAAUAUACCCACCACAGCCCGGUGGGUCCGGCACUCCUUGGAGAAAGUUAUCUAGUUUUCUCUUAAUUAAAGAUGUCCACGGUUGUCCCGGCAAUAUUUCUUAUACUCACUGGGAGGAGGAUGAACAACCGCGGAUUUCUGAUGUUUAUACAGUACCUGCACAUGGUCCAGUACAUGGACCUGUACUCCAACUCCCCGGUAUUGGGUGCAACGCAAGUAACGCCAUCUGUUGGUCGUGGCAUGGCAUCGGUAAAGGGCUCUGGUUUCCUGCCUCAGUUAGAAGGCGAGGUCGAUGAGGAUGACCUCCGGUGGGUGGUGUAUCAAGAUCAACGCCACCACACAGUCGGUCGACCCAAACAUAUAUCAACAAACUCGCCAAGUGAGGCAAAGCUCGUAAACCAACUUGAAUUUUUUGAAGAAAUUGAGCUCACAAACCAAAAAAUUUAAAGAAGGGGGGGGGGGUAUUCAUAAACCGAGGUUCCACUGUAUUUACAAACAGAAAAAUCAAACUAAUGUGAUAUACAUCAAUGAGAAAAUCCACUGGGACUGUGAAGUGACAUGAACCCAUGACCAAGGCAUUGCUAACCUCAUAUUUUACCACUGUACCACCACUGACUUGUUGAAAGUCUUACAACUGGAUUUUUACUGAAAUCACAGUAACUCUGGAGGUCCCUCCUGAAGCCAAUCCAAGUUUAACUUAAGACCUGCAAGCACUUGGGUGAAGGGUAAAGUAGUUCAACAUUGUACACCCCAACUUCAGAUACACACAAAUCUUCACCCGAGUGCUUGGGGGUCCUAUUUAAAACUUCGAUUAGCUUCAGGAGGGGCCUCUAGACUUACUUUGGUUUCAGCAGCAAUCCGGUUUUAAGACUUAACAAGUCAGUGGUGGUACAGUGGUAGAGUAUGUGGCUGACAAUGCCUUGGUCGCAUGUUUGGGUUGCCUCACAGCCCCGGUGGAUUAUCUCAAUCAUUAUUAUUAUUCCAUUUUGAAUUAAAUUCUUGGUCCUAGAACAAACCCUAUUUAUCUCACAAGAACCUAAACAAAACCUUGUGGUAUAAACUUACACUGGAGUCGAGGCAUUUAUAACAGUUUUGAUUUAGGAGUCAAAUGUACAGUAUUUAUAGCUGGCAAUGCCAUUUAAUGUUUCGUAAUAUUCACAACAGACGUUUGGACUUACCCUGCUUAACAUCUGGAAUGCCAACCAAUGAGAGAGGGAUGCGGAUAUUGGUGCUGUGGACCCAUGUCUGCUGGUUCUUGAGCCCAUAAUGGUGACCUGGGCAAAGGCAUUUGCACACUGAUCACAUCGUCGACCAAUGACCCCAGGACGACAGCGGCACUGGCCAGUAACAGGAUCACAUGAACCACCAUAUGACCCAACCAAGUAGCAGUCACAAU